rnacentral:rRNA from 1 species
AACGAACGCUGGCGGCAUGCCUAACACAUGCAAGUCGAACGAGACCUUCGGGUCUAGUGGCGCACGGGUGCGUAACGCGUGGGAACCUGCCCUUAGGUUCGGAAUAACUCCCCGAAAGGGGUGCUAAUACCGGAUAAUGUCUUCGGACCAAAGAUUUAUCGCCUUUGGAUGGGCCCGCGUUGGAUUAGCUAGUUGGUAGGGUAAAAGCCUACCAAGGCGACGAUCCAUAGCUGGUCUGAGAGGAUGAUCAACCACACUGGGACUGAGACACGGCCCAGACUCCGACGGGAGGCAGCAGUGGGGAAUAUUGGACAAUGGGCGAAAGCCUGAUCCAGCAAUGCCGCGUGAGUGAUGAAGGCCUUAGGGUUGUAAAGCUCUUUUACCCGGGAUGAUAAUGACAGUACCGGGAGAAUAAGCUCGGGCUAACUCCGUG